rnacentral:rRNA from 1 species
GAUGAACGCUGGCGGCGUGCCCAACACAUGCAAGUCGAGCGAUUUACUUCGGUAAAGAGCGGCGGACGGGUGAGUAACGCGUGGGUAACCUGCCCUGUACACACGGAUAACAUACCGAAAGGUAUGCUAAUACGGGAUAACAUGUUUUUAUCGCAUGGUAAAAAUAUCAAAGCUCCGGCGGUACAGGAUGGACCCGCGUCUGAUUAGCUAGUUGGUAAGGUAACGGCUUACCAAGGCGACGAUCAGUAGCCGACCUGAGAGGGUGAUCGGCCACAUUGGAACUGAGACACGGUCCAAACUCCUACGGGAGGCAGCAGUGGGGAAUAUUGCACAAUGGGCGAGAGCCUGAUGCAGCAACGCCGCGUGAGCGAUGAAGGCCUUCGGGUCGUAAAGCUCUGUCCUCAAGGAAGAUAAUGACGGUACUUGAGGAGGAAGCCCCGGCUAACUACGUGCCAGCAGCCGCGGUAAUACGUAGGGGGCUAGCGUUAUCCGGAAUGACUGGGCGUAAAGGGUGCGUAGGUGGUUUCUUAAGUCAGAGGUGAAAGGCUACGGCUCAACCGUAGUAAGCCUUUGAAACUGAGAAACCUGAGUACAGGAGAGGAGAGUAGAAUUCCUAGUGUAGCGGUGAAAUGCGUAGAUAUUAGGAGGAAUACCAGUUGCGAAGGCGGCUCUCUGGACUGUAACUGACACUGAGGCACGAAAGCGUGGGGAGCAAACAGGAUUAGAUACCCUGGUAGUCCACGCCGUAAACGAUGAGUACUAGCUGUCGGAGGUUACCCCCUUCGGUGGCGCAGCUAACGCAUUAAGUACUCCGCCUGGGAAGUACGCUCGCAAGAGUGAAACUCAAAGGAUUGACGGGGACCCGCACAAGUAGCGGAGCAUGUGGUUUAAUUCGAAGCAACGCGAAGAACCUUACCUAAGCUUGAC